rnacentral:rRNA from 1 species
UGGGGAAUCUUGCACAAUGGGGGAAACCCUGAUGCAGCGACGCCGCGUGAACGAUGAAGCCCUUCGGGGUGUAAAGUUCUUUCGACAGGAACGAUAAUGACGGUACCUGGAGAAGAAGCUGCGGCUAACUACGUGCCAGCAGCCGCGGUAAUACGUAGGCAGCGAGCGUUGUUCGGAGUUACUGGGCGUAAAGAGUGCGUAGGCGGCGAGCCAAGUUUGGUGGGAAAUCUCCCGGCUUAACCGGGAGGGUGCGCCGAAAACUGGUUGGCUGGAGUAUGGGAGAGGACAGCGGAAUUCCCGGUUUAGCGGUGAAAUGCGUAGAUAUCAGGAGGAACACCUGCGGUGUAGACAGCUUUCUGGACCAAAACUGACGCUGAGGCACGAAAGCGUGGGUAGCAAACA